CGGUGGCGGAUAGAUCCUAUCCGGGAUUUCAUGUUCACAGGAAGUGAUGUAAAGGGCCGCAGUGCGCAUGACCACAGACUUAGCCGAAACCCAUGGACAUUCCUGAUGGGAGCGGACUAAACUGGACACCAGAUAAGGCUUUAUGCAGAUGCCAACAUCGAUUGGAUUCUGUCUGUGAAUAUGCAUGAAAUGUGUUCCAAAUUUCAAUCAGUGAACUGAUGGAUCUUGGUGUUUGUCCAUCGCCGUGCCAUGGGUCAGCAGCUUCAUCUCGUCUAGGCAACAUAGAGUCCGGCACUGAGGAUUAGUGUCGAGUGAACUGAAGACAAUCACCGCCACCUAAGAUUAAAAUUGGACCUACACAACUGGAGGUAGUUGAACCUGCACGUAUUCUGGACGUGAUCUUACAGUCACAGAGCAACAUGAAGUGGUCUAAACUUGUUGCCAUGGUUGUUGAGAAGAGCAGUAGCAGACUGUACUUGCUACAAACCCUAGGCCUCUGUAAAUGAAGACUGGACUCUUGCGUCCUGGUGUUAGCGUUAAUUGUCUUUGUUUAGCCAGAUGCUUGCCAGGUAAGGACAACUGAGACCAGGUGAGGCACCUUACAGGUAAGACAGGUGUGUUUUCCUUUACUAGGGACAAGGUGAGACCAGGUGAGGCACCUUACAUGUAUGACAGGUGUGUUUUCCUUGACCAGGGACAAGGUGAGGCCAGGUAAGGCACAUUGCAGGUAAGACAGGUGUGUUUUCCUUGACUUGGGACAAGGUGAGGCCAGGUGAGGCACCUUACAGGUAAGACAGGUGUGUUUUCCUUGACUAGGGACAAGGUGAGGCCAGGUGAGGCACCUUACAUGUAUGACAGGUGUACAGGUGUGUUUUCGUUGACUAGGGACAAGGUGAGACCAGGUAAGGCACAUUGCAGGUAAGACAGGUGUGUUUUCCUUGACUAGGGACAAGGUAAGGCCAGGUGAGGCACCUUACAUGUAUGACAGGUGUGUUUCCUUUGACUAGGGACAAGGUGAGACCAGGUGAGGCACCUUGCAGGUAAGACAGGUGUGUUUUCUUUGACUAUGGACAAGGUUAGACCAGGUGAGGUACCUUACAAUGGUAUUUUCUGCAAUUGACAAG